AAAGAACAGUAGGUGCUGCUCCUCUGCAUGAUUAAACCUGCGUCCCUCUUGUGGUGCCUCAGGCAGGCCGUUUGAAAUCUGUAAUGCAUGUAAGAUCAGGACUGGAAACUUUCAGGCUACUUCCUAAAGCUCAAAGAGUGAACUUGAACUUAAAGAUUGCUUUUCUCAAACCUAUGCAUUCCUGGAACUCACUCUUCCUCAUAUGGGACAUUUUUCUGGAACUCAGUUGGUUCCCAUCCUGGAACUUAGAUGUUAUUUUCAGCCUAAAUUAUGAUGAUCCAUCAAGUCCAGAUGAAAAACAUCAUAUUUGUGGGUCUAUUCGUUUGGCUCGCCGAUAAUGAAUUUGUUGGCGCUAAAACGAAGCUUCCAGAGAUGGAAAAAAAAAGGAUCUGCUGAACGUUU